rnacentral:tRNA from 1 species
GGAGAGGUGGCAGAGCGGUUGAAUGCGGCGGUCUCGAAAACCGUUGGACCUUUGGGUCUCGGAGGUUCGAAUCCUCCUCUCUCCGCCA